rnacentral:misc_RNA from 1 species
CAUCAACUUCAAAAUUUACAUCAGUUCCCUUUCCACUUUCCAAUAGUUUUCCAAAAUGCUGGCCAAUGUUAGAAGGUGGUACUGCUAUAGAAUAAGUCUUAGGGCCCUCUGUGUGUGACUUAACAACACCUAAACUACAGUGAACUUGAAGGCAAUCCUCUUUGAGGUAAUCGGAUGACUCCAGAAGAGUUCUUUUGAAAAACCUUUUGUAUCCCCACAUGCUUCCACGAUAUUUAAGCGUAUAUGGCCCACUCUCAAGCGUCCUCCCAAAAUGGCUAUGAACCUUAUGCCUCUCCUUCCCACUCUGAUCCAACAGCGUCAACUCGAAAAGAGCCCUUACAUCGGUGCCUUCACUGGCCAACGCUAUAAACAGAGAAACAUAAGUGGCAUUAUCCUCGACGCUC